rnacentral:rRNA from 1 species
ACCUGCCCAUGUGCCCGGGAUAACUUCUGGAAACGGAUGCUAAAACCGGAUAGGUAGCAGACAAGCAUUUGACUGCUAUUAAAGUGGCUAAGGCCAUGAACAUGGAUGGACCUGCGGUGCAUUAGCUAGUUGGUGAGGUAACGGCCCACCAAGGCGACGAUGCAUAGCCGGCCUGAGAGGGCGGACGGCCACCAUUGGGACUGAGACACGGCCCAGACUCCUACGGGAGGCAGCAUG